rnacentral:rRNA from 1 species
GCAAGUCGAACGAGAAAGUGAUCUUCGGAUCGCGAGUAGAGUGGCGCACGGGUGAGUAACACGUGGAUAACCUGCCCUAUGAUCUGGGAUAACAUUUCGAAAGGAAUGCUAAUACCGGAUAAGCCUACACAACCUUCGGGGCGAGUAGGAAAAGAUUUAUCGUCAUAGGAUGGGUCCGCGGUCCAUUAGGUAGUUGGUGGGGUAAUGGCCUACCAAGACUGUGAUCAAUAGCUGAUUUGAGAGGAUGAUC